rnacentral:rRNA from 1 species
UAAGGAAUAUUGGGCAAUGGACGCAAGUCUGACCCAGCCAUGCCGCGUGAAGGAUGAAUGUCCUAUGGAUUGUAAACUUCUUUUAUGCAGGAAAAAUAUCCUGGUCGAGCACCGGGACUGAUGGUACUGUAUGAAUAAGCAUCGGCUAACUCCGUGCCAGCAGCCGCGGUAAUACGGAGGAUGCAAGCGUUAUCCGGAUUCAUUGGGUUUAAAGGGUGCGCAGGCGGAAUGAUAAGUCAGUGGUGAAAUCUCCCGGCU